ACUCCUACGGGAGGCAGCAGUGAGGAAUAUUGGUCAAUGGGCGGAAGCCUGAACCAGCCAUCCCGCGUGCAGGAAGACGGCCUUAUGGUUGUAAACUGCUUUUGUACAAGAAGAAACGUAACCUACGUGUAGGUAUUUGACGGUACUGUACGAAUAAGCACCGGCUAACUCCGUGCCAGCAGCCGCGGUAAUACGGAGGGGUGCAAGCGUUAUCCGGAUUUAUUGGGUUUAAAGGGGUCCGUAGGCGGAUUAAUAAGUCAGAGGUGAAAUCCUGCAGCUUAACUGUAGAAUUGCCUUUGAUACUGUUAGUCUUGAAUUAGGGUGCAGUGGUUGGAAUGUGUAGUGUAGCGGUGAAAUGCAUAGAUAUUACACAGAACACCGAUUGCGAAGGCAGAUCACUAACCCUAUAUUGACGCUGAGGGACGAAAGCGUGGGGAGCGAACAGGAUUAGAUACCCUGGUAGCACAGAG
rnacentral:rRNA from 1 species